GACGAACCGUGCGAGCGUUAUUCGGAAUCAUUGGGCUUAAAGAGCGCGUAGGCGGCGACGUAAGUUGGAAGUGAAAUCCCAUCGGCUCAACCGUGGAAUCGCUCCCAGUACUGUGUUGCUCGAGGGAGAUAGGGGCCUGUGGAACUGCCGGUGGAGCGGUGAAAUGUGUUGAUAUCGGCGGGAACGCCAGUGGCGAAAGCGACAGGCUGGACCUUUUCUGACGCUGAGGCGCGAAAGCUGGGGGAGCAAACGGG
rnacentral:rRNA from 1 species